UGUGGAGUUGGAUUUCAUUCAAGGGUGAUGGACACUUGAUCUUGAAUCGUACUUGUGAUUUCUUCAAGGGCCGUCGAGGCUUGAUCUUGAACUUUGGCUAGAAGCUUCUUCAAGGGCCUUUGAGGCUUGAUCUCGAAGGUUGAUUCGAACACAUGGCAAGCAGGCACGAGGUAAAGGUGACAGCCUGUUUCUUUGUUCAAUCUUUCUAAUUCAC
rnacentral:lncRNA from 1 species